CAAAGCUAUUCUACCUGCACUUCAGACCAGGUAAUCCAUCUGAAGCUAAGUAGGUUUGGAGCUGGCUAGUACUUGGGUGAGAGACCAUCUAGGAAAGCUGUGUUGCUGC
rnacentral:rRNA from 1 species